rnacentral:rRNA from 1 species
GAUGAACGCUGGCGGCGUGCCUAAUACAUGCAAGUCGAGCGAACAGACGAGGAGCUUGCUCCUCUGACGUUAGCGGCGGACGGGUGAGUAACACGUGGAUAACCUACCUAUAAUACUGGGAUAACUUCGGGAAACCGGAGCUAAUACCGGAUAAUAUAUUGAACCGCAUGGUUCAAUAGUGAAAGACGGUUUUGCUGUCACUUAUAGAUGGAUCCGCGCCGCAUUAGCUAGUUGGUAAGGUAACGGCUUACCAAGGCAACGAUGCGUAGCCGACCUGAGAGGGUGAUCGGCCACACUGGAACUGAGACACGGUCCAGACUCCUACGGGAGGCAGCAGUAGGGAAUCUUGCGCAAUGGGCGAAAGCCUGACGGAGCAACGCCGCGUGAGUGAUGAAGGUCUUCGGAUCGUAAAACUCUGUUAUUAGGGAAGAACAAAUGUGUAAGUAACUAUGCACGUCUUGACGGUACCUAAUCAGAAAGCCACGGCUAACUACGUG